rnacentral:rRNA from 1 species
AACRAGACCUCAGGUCAGGCGAGGCUACCCGCUGAGUUUAAGCAUAUSAAUAAGCRGAGGAAAAGAAACUAACWAGGAUUCCCCUA